rnacentral:rRNA from 1 species
GACGAACGCUGGCGGCGUGCUUAAUACAUGCAAGUGGAGCGACCAACCAGGGCUUGCCCUGGGGCAGCGCUGCGAACGGGUGAGUAACAAGUGGGUAAAGUGCCCCGAUGACUGGGAGAAACCGGGGAAACACGGGCGAAUACCGGAUGUGCCACCUCAUAACAGUGAGGUUUGUAUAGGAAGCUACGGCCUCCGCCUCGGGAAUGGCCCGCGGCGCAUUAGCUUGUUGGUUAGGUAACGGCUCACCAAGGCUGCGAUGGGUAGCUGGUCUGAGAGGACGAUCGGCCACGCUGGAACUGAGACACGGCCCAGACUCCUACGGGAGGCAGCAGUGGGGAAUCUUGCGCAAUGCGCGAAAGCUUGACGGAGCAACGCCGCGUGGGGGAAGACGGUCUUCGGGUUGUAAACCCCUUUCAGUUGGGACGAAGGUCGGGCGGUUAACAGCCGUACCGGCUGACGGUACCUUCACAGAAAGCCCCGGCUAACUACGUG